AUCACCUACCAAAAAGGACCAAAGAGAAAAAGACUGGGAAAUGCCACACACGGAUGAGCCACAGGAUUGAUGUUUCCCGAUUAGGAACUAUUCCAGCACCAAAUCUUCUCUACUGCAGCGGAUUGGGUGUGAUCUCCUGUGCUGUGCAUGGAACAUGGUCCUGCUGGGAAAACAUCCCCCAUCUCCCAUGGCUGUACGUUCUCAGCGGUUCUCAGCCCUGCGGUUUGUGAUGGGAUCCACACCUGAGCUUCUGCACAAGGGAAUCCGGUUGGAAGGACCACUGUGAAAUGAAUACAGCGAAAGAAACAGAACGUGGUGUUUCACAGAGGAAAUUCAAAUGAAGAGGCUGUGACCCAUCAGAAGGAAUCCAAACAAAUCUGCCAGAGUUAGGAGAAUUCAAGAGGAAUAGAGUUGUUCAGUCCUUCAAUCAACAAUCAUUUUCUAAAGUUACCAUCACUGGCCUUAGAAAUAGAAGAUCUGAAGAGAAAUUGUAAACCACAGUAAAUGCUGACCUGAGAUAGAUAUUUGUCCUGACAGAAGAAGCUGCUGAAAGAAGAGUUUGAGAAGUGCCUGUAAAAAACCCUGAGCUUAUAUCAUUUGAAGAAUAUUUGAAACAGUUGCUGAACAGCCAACUUUAGAGCUAUUUUAACAGUACUCUCCAAGUAGAUACGCUCACAGAAAUUGUGCUGCUUUUGGAGAUCACUGAUUUGAAAUGUUGCUUCUGAGACUUUACAUCUAUGUCUGUUUCAGAACCAGGACCCUGUUCAUUUCAUCAGCUGAAAUAACACAGUUUGGGUAUGUUAAA